CCUGGUAGUAAUAGCGCGGUGGUCCCACCUGAUACCAUACCGAACUCAGAAGUGAAAUACCGUAGCGCCGAUGGUAGUGUGGGGUUUCCCCAUGUGAGAGUAGGAAAUUGCCAGGC
rnacentral:rRNA from 1 species